rnacentral:rRNA from 1 species
AUUGAACGCUGGCGGCAUGCUUUACACAUGCAAGUCGAACGGUAACAGGCCGCAAGGUGCUGACGAGUGGCGAACGGGUGAGUAAUGCAUCGGAACGUGCCCAGUCGUGGGGGAUAACUACUCGAAAGAGUAGCUAAUACCGCAUACGAUCUAUGGAUGAAAGCGGGGGACCGUAAGGCCUCGCGCGCUUGGAGCGGCCGAUGUCAGAUUAGGUAGUUGGUGGGGUAAAGGCUCACCAAGCCAACGAUCUGUAGCUGGUCUGAGAGGACGACCAGCCACACUGGGACUGAGACACGGCCCAGACUCCUACGGGAGGCAGCAGUGGGGAAUUUUGGACAAUGGGCGCAAGCCUGAUCCAGCAAUGCCGCGUGCAGGAAGAAGGCAUUCGGGUUGUAAACUGCUUUUGUACGGAACGAAACGGCUCUGGUUAAUACCCGGGGCUAAUGACGGUACCGUAAGAAUAAGCACCGGCUAACUACGUG